rnacentral:rRNA from 1 species
CACAAGCAGCGGAGCGUGUGGUUUAAUUCGUUGCUACACGAAGAACCUUACCUGGGUUUGACAUUAUAAGUUGUAGGGAACUGAAAAGGGACGACCUUCGGGGAGCUUAUUACAGGUGUUGCAUGGCUGUCGUCAGCUCGUGUCGUGAGAUGUUCGGUUAAGUCCGCUAACGAGCGCAACCCUCGCCGUAUGUUACAAGUGUCAUACGGGACUGCCGGUAAAAAGCCGGAGGAAGGUGAGGAUGAUGUCAAGUCAGCAUGACCUUUAUAUCCAGGGCUACACACACGCUACAAUGGUCUGUACAAUGGGUAGCCAAGCCGCGAGGCGGAGCCAAUCCUGAAAGCAGGCCUCAGUUCAGAUUGCAGUCUGCAACUCGACUGCAUGAAGCCGGAGUUGCUAGUAACCGCAGGUCAGCAAUGCUGCGGUGAAUACGUUCCCGGGUCUU